rnacentral:sRNA from 1 species
GGCGCCGCAAUUUCGCCUAAGGGCAGCCCACGUCCUGUGAGCAACGGCGAAAUGUCGCCAUCCCGGCUC